AUGGCUCAGUGAGGCGUUCGGACUGGCUCGGGGAGGUUGGCAACGACCACCCCAAGCCGGAAAGUUCGUCAAACUCGGUCAUUUAGAGGAAGUAAAAGUCGUAACAAGGUCUCCGUAGGUGAACCUGCGGAGGGAUCAUUACACAACAAAAUAUGAAGGCCUGGCUUCGCGGCCGGCUGAAAUAUUUUUUUCACCCAUGUCUUUUGCGCACUUGUUGUUUCCUGGGCGGGUUCGCCCGCCACCAGGACCAAACCAUAAACCUUUUUUUUAUGCAGUUGCAAUCAGCGUCAGUAAAAACAAUGUAAUUAUUACAACUUUCAACAACGGAUCUCUUGGUUCUGGCAUCGAUGAAGAACGCAGCGAAAUGCGAUACGUAGUGUGAAUUGCAGAAUUCAGUGAAUCAUCGAAUCUUUGAACGCACAUUGCGCCCUUUGGUAUUCCAAAGGGCAUGCCUGUUCGAGCGUCAUUUGUACCUUCAAGCUUUGCUUGGUGUUGGGCGUUUUUUGUCUCCCUCUUUCUGGGAGACUCGCCUUAAAACGAUUGGCAGCCGGCCUACUGGUUUCGGAGCGCAGCACAUAUUUUGCGCUUUGUAUCAGGAGAAAAGGACGGUAAUCCAUCAAGACUCUACAUUUUUAACUUUUGACCUCGGAUCAGGUAG
rnacentral:sRNA from 1 species